GUUUAAUCAUAAUAACAAGUACCAUUUAACAAAAACAUCACAGUAAUACCCAAAGUAACUUUCAAAUAGUAAACCAAAAACAGGAUGAUAAAACGAUAGAGUACAGAUCAUAAAGGUCAGGAGCUAGGCAUGCCGUUUAGCACUUGAUCUCCUUCAGACCAUGUGCGAAGUACAGAAAAGUGGGAUCUGCAGCACCAUCCUUGUAGUAAGCAAAGACCAAGCCACCAUCAUCAUGCAUGCUCUCCCCAACAAAACUGAACAUAGAGCUCAAGGUCAGUGUCUACUGAUUUAAACAAUCACUAGCACUUACAACUGAAGAUCAGAAAAUUACUUGUAGCUGAAUUCUACUGAAUUCUACAUCAAUCAUCAUUCACAAGUAUAAAAGUGUAUCAAAUAAUACACUUACAACUGAAGAUCACUGAGCUUGGAGAGCAGGAACUUUGUGGCUGAUGGAAUGUGUUGUUUGAAUUGAGCUUGACUCUCUUCAUCAAGUUUGGGUGUCAACAGCUUGAUAUACCUCUUAACAUAGGCAAGGAACUGCUUCUUGUCAAAAGGGGGUUGCUCCUGCAAGAAUUAAAACAUAACACUAAUACAAUGAGUUUAAGUUAAGAAAAUACUCAAAUUAAACAAAAAUGAUAUCACCAGGGAAGUAUUAUUAACCUAACCUGAAGUCUGAAGGUGUCAACAAUGUCCACAACCUUAACAGCUUGAUCAUCAACACCCUCAUCAUCCCCACCUUCGGCGGAAGGGUUUGCACCAAUGUCUACAUCAACUGCUCCCUGAACGACCCACUGUAAAAACCACAAAAAGUCAUUUUGUCAGCCAUAUCAACCUCGAAACAAUAACCGAGCAACCGAACCACUUUCAAUAAAAGUAUUUAGUUAUAUGGAAAUAAAAACAUUUGAAAAAUUAUAAUUUAAAAAAAAUAUAGAGAAAUGCAUGCAAAUGAACAAACCUUUCCAUCAACUUCCCACAAUAUUCCAUUCUCAAUUUCACGAUAUGGGAAGGAGUCCGAGAGAAGCUCAUCACCUACAUAAUUUAUAGUAAUACAUAUGGUAAGUAAUCAACAUAUACAAAAGCAAGGAUCCUACAAUGCAAUAGAACACUCCUUCAUAAAAGUCUACAUCAUAACUUAAAACAAGUGACAAAUAAAUAACCUAGCUCAACAGACCUAGUAAAUAAUAAAUUGACAAUUAGGGAUGGCAACAGGUUUGGAUGGAUCCAGAUAGUUCAUUAUCCAUGUAUAUCAAUUUUUGGACCCAGACCCGUGCAGUUACCCAUUGGGUCUACUACCCACGGGUCCUUGAGUAGCCACAAAUUCAAAAAUAUUAAAAAAUAACUGUGAGUAAUUUAAGCAAUUGUAUGUUUGUUUCCUACAAUCUUACAUGUUAUUUAGGCAAUUAAUAAGAGAACAAAAUUAUAAAACAUAAUUCAGUUUUAAAACAAUUUAAAUAGACUAUUAAAACAACUCAUUUUACUCAAUCAAACAUAAAAAAUACAAAGUGACAACUUCAACAUUAUGAUGUAAAAUUGAUUUAGUAAGAACUCAUUAAUCGACAUAACAUUUGAUUAUUGAGGUGAAUAAAUAACAUAACAUCAUAUCAGACCCCUUAAUAUUAUAAUGUCACUGUUUAACAACUUAACAAUCACAAUCAUGAAUUAAUGUAACAUUAUACUUAGGAAAGAAUCGUCCGUCCAGGUACCCAUGGGUACGGGUAACUCAUUGCUCGGAACCAUAGUGGGCCUCAAAAUCUGGGGUCUAAUUAUAUACGGGUCCAAAAAACACAGACCCAGAUCCAACCCGUUGCGGGUACCCGCAGGUCUGAGUACCAAUUGCCAUCCCUAUUGACAAUUCGAAAUCACAAAUAGUAAAUUAGUGAGGACAGUGGUACAAAAUAACGAAUGACCGAUAUAGUAAAGUAUCCCCAAUAAAGUACUGGCAUGGAUCGUAUAUAGGAAUAAAUUCUAGGGUUAAAGUUUUAGGGCAAACUAAAGCAUAAUCAAGAUCUUAAUGAAUCAAAACUGAUCAAUAAAAAAAGAGAGCAGAAAGAAUAAACGAAUUCAAUAGUAAACAAUAAACAUAUUAUGUAAGAUUGAAAUAUAUAUGAAGUAAAACUCAUAGUGAUGUAGGAAAAGAGAAGAAGAAGAUGAUUGAAUAGAUACCAGUGAGAAGGUCUUGAUAAACCAACAUGAUUGGAUCGAAGAGCAGAGAUAUCCUCUCGGAUGGAAUAAAGAGGUGCGGCGAGGAGUGAGAAGAGAGAAAAAGGCUUCGAAAGUUUAGAGAAAAGAGUAUUUAUAAGCCAGGGUUUUCCACUUUCCUCUAAUUGGGCUAACUCUAUGUGGGCUUUGGGUUAUAAAUUAAACAAACAAUUCACCUUUAACUGUAAUAUAAGCUUUUAUUUCUUCCUCCAAAAUUGUGUAUUUUUAAAUGGAUUUAACUGAUGUAGCUUUAUUUAUAUUCUUAAAUGUACCUCAUAAACUUACCCCACAUUUAUAUUAAUGUUGUCUCAAUUAUAAGAACGAUGCAUAUUUUGUUCACCGUUAUCAAAUAAGCACAAAAACAGUUAUUCUCCAAUGAUGAAAUUAGAAGAAUAACGUUCUUAUUUGACUAUAAACUCAUUUUUUUCCACCAUUGUGAAUAUUUUAAGUAACUUGAUAAAUUUUUCUUAUUUGCUUACUAACUUACUAACUGAAAUCACCUGAAUAUAAGCCAUGAAGCUGAUGACUACUACGGAUUUUGGAAUUCUCUUGCUUAAAUACAGUAUACAAAUUUUAUACAAUGUUAGUAAAUCAUUUAUAAUUCAUAUUUAAUAUAUCAAAAAUGCAUAGUUAUUACAUUAUUAUGUUUUGAUGAUAAGCAAGAUACUAUAUAUGUGAAAUGACAUAAAGGAUGCAAUAUUAACCAAUAAUAUCAUUUCAUACUAAAGAAAUAAGUCUUUUCAAAUUAUGUAGUUAAACUAAGGAAAAAUAGCUUCCGAGAAUAUAUAUAUAUAUAUAUAUAUUAAAUAAUAAUAGUAUUCCAUAAAUAUAUUAUUACUAAUAUUAUUUUAUAAGAAUAUUAGUGACAACAUCAUGUUAAUAAAAAAUACAAUAUAAGAUAUGAUGAGAGAGAAGGGGAUAAAUGUGAAUUCAGAGACCAUCCUAGAUAUUUGAUAUUGUCAUUGUACAUAUACUUGAUUAGUUUCAAAAUAUAAUUUUAUAUUUGUCAAGUUAUUACAUACAAUUUUUGUAAAAAGAAUAUAAGUACUUACUUUACCCACUAAAAUAGUUUUUAUUUCAAUGAAAAUCUACUAGUUGCCAAUCAUUAACUUGUUUUAUAUUAUAAACUACCUCAUAUUCUUGCCAAGCACACGCAACAUUUCAAGUUGAGCAAAAAAUGAGUGCAUCAUUGUAGGAAUAUAGUUACUAGUUGGUCAUGGAAUAAACGGAAAAAAACUUUUUUGGAAAAUACAUUGUUAUGUAUGAGAAAAUGGAAUGAAACAUAAUUUGUUUCCACAAAAAAUUAAGAGGAAUUUUUUGACGAACUUGGAAGGGAAAGUACUAUUCCACACAAAAGGUGAAACAGUACAUGCCACUUUAAAAUGCCAUCAAUGUGAAUUUCACUUCUACAAGUACUUCUGAUCACAUUCUAGACACAAAACAAUACAAUUCCCACAAUAUUUUAGGAUUUGGACACCCACAUCCUCCGCCAAGAUCUCUAGCAUACGAGAUAUAAGUGACAGAUAAAAUUAGAUUCUAAUGGAUAAAUAAAAAAUCAUCUAUCAAUAUUUUUGAAAUUGAACUGAAUUCCAUUAAGUUUAUACGUUGCCAGCCAGACUAGUAAUCUCCUUCACACAUUCACAAGAUUUUGUAUUGAGAAACACCAUCGAACAGAAUGACAGUAAAACCCGACACACAAUGCACAUGUAGCAUUAAAUAACUAACAGCUACCCUAAAAACAAAAUUCUGCAUUUUAUAGCUGCACAUGGAAUCAUGAACAUGAAAAUGCAGGUUCUUGCUUUAGAAGGAUGACGGUCCCUGCUGCCAUUACCGUUCUUUAUUAUGCAAUAUGGGAGGGGAGGUAGAAACCAAAUUCGAUUGGUUCAAUGCAAAUCUUAUAAUUUGGAAAUUCAGCAAGAGAUGUUGGCAUUUUAUAAAUUUCUAAUUAGUGAUGUAAUUGAUUCCAGCUACAAGUAAUUUUCAGAUCAUAAGAAAAAAAUCAUGCAUUAAUAUGGCAUCCAAUCAAUUGAUUCCAGCCACUAAUAGCAGUCGGGUUGUUUAAUCAUAAUAAGUACCAUUAAACAAAAACACCAAGAGAAUUACCAAAGUAACUUUCAAAUAGUAAACCAAAAACAGGAUGAUAAAACGAUAGAGUACAGAUCAUAAAGGUCGGGAGCUAGGCAUGUCAUCUAGCACUUGAUCUCCUUCAGACCAUGUGCAAAGUACAGAAAAGUGGGAUCUGCAGCACCAUCCUUGUAGUAAGCAAAGACCAAGCCACCAUCAUCAUGCAUGCUCUCCCCAACAAAA
rnacentral:lncRNA from 1 species